GCCGGGUGGGGUGGCGCACACCUGUAAUCCCAGUGGCUCAGGAGGAUGAGGCAGGAGGAUAGCGAGUUCAAAGCCAGUCUCAGCAAAAGCAAGGCGCUAAGCAACUCAGUGAGAGCCUGUCUCUA
rnacentral:sRNA from 1 species